CGAAGGGUGCAAGCGUUACUCGGAAUUACUGGGCGUAAAGCGUGCGUAGGCGGUCUGUUAAGUCCGUUGUGAAAGCCCUGGGCUCAACCUGGGAAUUGCAGUGGAUACUGGCAGGCUAGAGUACGGUAGAGGAUGGUGGAAUUCCCGGUGUAGCGGUGAAAUGCGUAGAGAUCGGGAGGAACACCCGUGGCGAAGGCGGCAUCCUGGACCGGCAUUGACGCUGAGGCGCGAAAGCCAGGGGAGCAAACAGGA
rnacentral:rRNA from 1 species